rfam:Heterocephalus glaber contig273578, whole genome shotgun sequence.
UGGUGUGUAGCUCAGUGGUAGAGCACUUGCCUAGCAAAUGUGAAGCCCUGGGUUUAAUCCCCAGCACUACAC